GUGGGAAAGGAGGCAAUCGCCACAGCUUUUUGCCGUGGAGGAAAGUCUGGACUUCACAGAACAGGAUACCAGUGAAAUACUGGGGGCCGUAAGGCUACGGAAAGUGCCACAGAAAACAUUUCGCUACUCUUUGGGAGUAGACAGACUGAAAAUGCUAGCUUUAGGAGCUAGCGCAGGAUCCUAGUAAUAGAUCUUGCUGGUAAACCCUAUCCGAAGCAAGAGGACCAAUCGAUGGUUGUUCGCCAUUUGGUCUAAGUCGCUUGAGAUGUGGUAGCAAUACCCGUCCUAGAGGAAUGAUUGCCCAAUGACAGAAUCCGGCUUAUCCCUCUCCCACAUUU
rnacentral:RNase_P_RNA from 1 species